UACGUAGGCAGCGAGCGUUUGUUCGGAGUUACUGGGCGUAAAGGGUGUGUAGGCGGUUGUUUUAAGUUUGGUGUGAAAUCUCCCGGCUCAACUGGGAGGGUGCGCCGAAUACUGAGCGACUAGAGUGCGGGAGAGGAAAGUGGAAUUCCUGGUGUAGCGGUGAAAUGCGUAGAUAUCAGGAGGAACACCGGUGGUGUAGACGGCUUUCUGGACCGUAACUGACGCUGAGACACGAAAGCGUGGGUAGCAAACAGG
rnacentral:rRNA from 1 species